rnacentral:rRNA from 1 species
UACGUAGGGUGCGAGCGUUAAUCGGAAUUACUGGGCGUAAAGCGUGCGCAGGCGGUUAUGUAAGACAGUUGUGAAAUCCCCGGGCUCAACCUGGGAAUUGCAUCUGUGACUGCAUAGCUAGAGUACGGUAGAGGGGAUGGAAUUCCGCGUGUAGGCAGUGAAAUGCGUAGAUAUGCGGAGGAACACCGAUGGCGAAGGCAAUCCCCUGGACCUGUACUGACGCUCAUGCACGAAAAGCGUGGGGAGCAAACAGG